GAGGAAGUCAUUGGUACUUUUCUUAGUUUGUCAGCUAUUUUACUCUACUUCAGGGGUAACAGGUGUCCAAAUGACCAUUUCUGCAUGCGCAGUUUGGAUAACUGCAUGGAUAAAGGGGUGCAAUCCAGACCAGCAAGAGGUUGCGUCACUGCCUGCCCUGAAGCACUGGAUGCCGUAAAAUGCUCUGCUCCCAGAAAGCAUACAAGCAUGCCAUCAAGUGUCUGUGUGAUAAGCAGCCAUGUUUCAGUAACUGACUCCACAGCCUGCUUGUUAAACCACAGAAACACACUGAUAUCCACCAGCUUUGGUUACAACAGCCAAGUGACCCCAAACACUACCAAUUCUGCAU